ACAGGAGCUGCGGAACCCCCUCUGUUUCGUGGAUUUCCUUCUCGCCUGCUCUCCGGGUGUCCCAGACGGGGCUGCAAGACCCGGAGGCAGCGAGAGGACCGCGUCCCCGAGAGAGGGGCUGCACGGCGCGCCCGGGCCGUCCCCCGGGCUCCCAGCUCUGUCCAGCCGCCCGCGACCGCUGCAGGCGCCUGGACAGCUCCUCCUGGGGACCGGGGAAAGCGCUCUUGGGACCCAGGCCGAAUGCUCCCGUUUGGGCACAGCCUGGGGGCCGGGGCGCCCCAGACGCUCCAGGGUCCCCGCCUGCCUUAAGCGUCUACCUCCUCCCCUUCACCCCACAACACGCGCUCUCUGGGCCCCCUUUCACCCACCCACCCCCAAUUUCUAUCUCCUUGUAAUCUGUGUGUCCUGCUUUAAUGUUGGGGGGCACGGGCGCGAACUCUGGGUCACUUUGACCCCACGCCCAGCACGUAGUAGGCGCCCAGCACUCGUGUGGAGCGACUCUGGGAGGAAAACUAGGAAGGAGACCUGAGGAGCGCCCCGCUCAGCUCCCUGGACAGACGUAGGACCCAGGAGCAGGGUUAAUCCUCGGCUGCUUUGUCACUGCGAAGUCUCCAGCGGAGUCUGUCAGCCAAUCUGCAUCAUCCCCGGGAAGGAUCUGACCCAACAAGACAAGGGAAAAGGAGCAGGGCUGCUACUUCUUCAGCAGCUCUCCUCGGUUCGGUCUCCGAAUAAGAAAUAACAAUUACAUCACGAGGCCGGGGCGGCAGCGCGGUGGAGCCUCUCGGUUUCCUGCAGCCUAAUCUCACUGAACCCGCCUCUAAAUUGGGGGGGCCACAGAUUGGUGAAACGAGAAAGUGGAAGGAGGAGAGAGUCAUACGAAACCAUAAUUUCCCCUUAUCCUUGUAUUUGCUGUUUGAAAAAUCGUAUCCUCAACGCUCCCCAGACAUCUCACUAGAACUAUUAACACCCCCUCAACACCUCCCCAGAUGUCAGGUUUCUUUUUGACUUGAGCAUCUAGCAUUUAGUAAUUCGCCAUGAAAAAAAUUACCAGGGGAAGCGAGUGUUGUUGCUGAAAUUGUUUUUGCUUGACACAAAAAAGCUAAAGUACAGCUUAGUCUCACCCGAAAUUCUGAAACGGCAUGCCCGUGUUAAAACACUUAUUACAUAAGACAAAUGAGCCGAUGAGGCACUCCAUUCUUAUAUGUAGGUUUUCAUAUCCUGAAGAAUUUGAUAGCAUUUGGAAAUGAAGUUGCUAAUGCGCUUAAAAAACAAAAACUAUCCAAGUCAUGAAACUGUAUUCUGUGCCUGUUAUGUAAUGGCUGUAUUGUGUAUUGCAAAUUUCACUUAACCUUUAAACAAUAUGAAUGAGAGUUUUAGAAUACUGUCACAGUCUUGAAAGUGAAAGCAAUUUUUCAAAUUAAUGCUUAAUAAAUUCAGCACCCAGCACAGUGCCGGGCACAUAGUGCCAAUGUUUUCCUUAGUGGCAAUGGCACAUUUUAAAACAAUUAUUUUUCAUCACCCUAGUGAUUGAACUAUGCAAUCUGUUGCCAUUUUAUAUAGUUAAACCUCAUAUAAUAUAAUACCAUAUUAUUUGCAUAUACCACAAUUCAAAAUCUGCUCUAGGCAAAAUAAAGUCUGCUGUUUUUUAGUGCAUCAUUUAUUCAGAAUUGAUACAAAGCAAACCGUUUCAAUUCAAUGAUGACCAGCAUAAUUGGAGCUUGGCCCUUAGUGGGGGGUCAAACUUUUUUUAUGAAAAUUAUUUUUAACCAUUAUACAGAUUUUUCUACAAUGUAUUGCAAAUGUUUCUCUUAAGCAGUUUGUUGAACGUCAUUUAGCAUUUUCUUGAUAAUUCAAUGUUAAUUUUAUUAAAAGUAAUUAUUGUAGUAGGUUGUAGCGGAUUCAGUAAAUAUAUCCAGUUCCUAUUCUAUAUUCUUUCUAGGUGUUAGGAAUGCUCCCAGGAGGUACAAAAGCUAUCAGUCGCUGCACCGAAGGACUCUAGGAUGCUAUGACUUAGUUUUGGACCAUGGAGAUUGCCCAGCAAGCCGAGAAUAUUCCAGCCCUCCAACAUUGUUGUUAAAAAGUCCACUGCUGUAUGUUAGGUGACUUCCCAAAGCUGCUCACUACUUCUUCUUAUUCUGUUUUCUCAACCCCACAAAAAUCCAAUCACUGAAAUCCUGAACUCUUUUGAUAGUGGCAUGAGUGUUAAGUAAAUUGCACACCUCUUGUGGAAUUCAUUUUCACUUAAUCAUGCUAAUUAUGUGGAGACUUGUUUGUUGUUGUUCUUUGUUUUUUUAAGUAAAUCAAUACCUAAAUUUC
rnacentral:lncRNA from 1 species